CGCGCGGUGGAGAAGUCCGGUCUAUCUCGGGUGGCUCAUAACCACCAUGUCGCAGGUUCAAAUCCUGCCCGCGCAA
rnacentral:tRNA from 1 species